rnacentral:lncRNA from 1 species
AUUUUAAAGAAAGUGGACGUACCAAUUCUGGAUCAGUCACCAGUUCACAGUGGUUUAAUACUGAACGUCUGGCAACUAACACAAAUCAAUGAACGAAAAAAUUAGGGCAAUUAAAGGAAACGAUAAACAAGAGGCAUAUGGUUUCUCCGGGAUUCAGUGAAGGGUGUAUGGUCUCUAAAUUUCAGCAGGCAAUUUCGCCGGCAUCUACAUGGAUAUCGUAUUUCUUUCUUGACCACUCGGGUUUAAUUCAAGUAUAUGGCGACUUAAUGGGCUCUUAAACUAGAAACUGGUUAACCAAGACAUAGACGGACACUGGAACCGCAUUCAAUUAAGACAACUAUUGAUUCCGAGGGCAACUAUACAUUCCGUAUAGUAACUUUAUAGAUUUGCCCUAAGACGUCAGAACAAAUACAGUCCUCUACGUGGAUGAUAUGGCGAUUUAAGCCGCAGGAAAAGAAGACAGAAAAAUGGUCGAG